rnacentral:rRNA from 1 species
UACAGAGGAUGCAAGCGUUAUCCGGAAUGAUUGGGCGUAAAGCGUCUGUAGGUGGCUUUUUAAGUCCGCCGUCAAAUCCCAGGGCUCAACUCUGGACAGGCGGUGGAAACUACCAAGCUGGAGUACGGUAGGGGCAGAGGGAAUUUCCGGUGGAGCGGUGAAAUGCGUAGAGAUCGGAAAGAACACCAGUGGCGAAGGCGGGUCUCUGGACAGUUCCUGACGCUGAGGCACGAAGGUCAGGGGAGCAAACGGG